GAACUUUCUGCUAGCUCUCUAAAGGAAUGAAAAUAACCUUGGGUUCUCACUAAGCAUCAAUUCUGUGACUGGCUCUGUGGGGUAGAGAUGAAAAGGCUCACUCAGUUCCAGCCCCUGCAGAUCCCCCAGGACCCUGGCAGCAGCAGAUCUAUGAGCCCACAUUUCCCCCUGCUUGUGAGGAUCACACCAAGAGAGACAUUCACAUCCUGGCCUCACAAAGAAGAGAUGGCAAAGUGGAAAAAGGCCGGAGUCCCCAACCCUGAGCCCUUUACCCUGUCUCAGUCUUUUAUAACGAGGUGUGUGUGCUUGGGCAAUGCCUCUCUCUUCUGGGACUCAGUGUACCCAUCUCUGCUGUGGGGAGGUUGGACUAGAUGAGAGUUUCCCAAACUCCAGUUGUUUCUUUCCCUCCCUCCACACCUGGAGAUCAGAACACCUGUACUAAAAAGUACUGAAAAUCUUUAUUCAAAUGAGCUCACUUUUUUUCAACCAAAAUAAACUUAUUUUAGA
rnacentral:lncRNA from 1 species